rnacentral:rRNA from 1 species
CCUACGGGAGGCAGCAGUGGGGAAUAUUGGACAAUGGGCGAAAGCCUGAUCCAGCAAUGCCGCGUGAGUGAUGAAGGCCUUAGGGUUGUAAAGCUCUUUUACCAGGGAUGAUAAUGACAGUACCUGGAGAAUAAGCUCCGGCUAACUCCGUGCCAGCAGCCGCGGUAAUACGGAGGGAGCUAGCGUUGUUCGGAAUUACUGGGCGUAAAGCGUACGUAGGCGGUUAUUCAAGUCAGAGGUGAAAGCCUGGAGCUCAACUCCAGAACUGCCUUUGAAACUAGAUAGCUAGAAUCUUGGAGAGGUGAGUGGAAUUCCGAGUGUAGAGGUGAAAUUCGCAGAUAUUCGGAAGAACACCAGUGGCGAAGGCGACUCACUGGACAAGUAUUGACGCUGAGGUACGAAAGCGUGGGGAGCAAACAGGAUUAGAUACCCUGGUAGUCCACGCCGUAAACGAUGAUAACUAGCUGUUCGGGCUCUACGAGCUUGAGUGGCGCAGCUAACGCAUUAAGUUAUCCGCCUGGGGAGUACGGUCGCAAGAUUAAAACUCAAAGGAAUUGACGG